ACAUGGGCCGGCCCAGUCUGAACAUUUUUCUGUUUGAAACGUUUUUUAUGACUUAUAGGUGACAAUGGUGAGUAAUUUUAGUUAACUUUAAAGACAAUUUGAAUGACGUACGAAAGAAGCAUUAUUUGCUUUAUUAAUAGAGAAGAAGGUAAGGUAAGGUAAGAUAGAUCUCCUCUAGUCCAUUUUUGACAUCCCUACAAAUCCCAGCCUCUCCUAACCUACUACCGCCUACACCUUGAAAUCCGCGCAUCUCCAGCCCACCUACGCCGCUUGGUCGCGCUAGUGCCGCCAUCGUCGCCGCAACCGUCGCCCCCAUCCAUCCGCAGACCGCCACGUCGCCCCUGCCCAGCCAGCCAGUCGCGCGGGCCCCGCGAGACCAGAUCCGGCCCGCUGGGCCCAAAUUGCCGCCACCGCUCGUCCCGAGCNNNN
rnacentral:lncRNA from 1 species